rnacentral:rRNA from 1 species
CCUGUCUUCGGAUGAGUGGCGGACGGGUGAGUAAUACGUAGGAAUUAACCGUAGAGUGGGGGACAACUCGGGGAAACUCGAGCUAAUACCGCAUGUACUCCGAGGAGGAAAGCCGGGGAUCCGAAAGGACCGGGCGCUCUGCGAUAAGCCUACGUUGGAUUAGCUAGUUGGUAGGGUAAUGGCCUACCAAGGCAAAGAUCCAUAGCUGGUCUGAGAGGAUGAUCAGCCACACUGGAACUGAGAUACGGUCCAGACUCCUACGGGAGGCAGCAGUGAGGAAUUUUGGACAAUGGGGGAAACCCUGAUCCAGCGAUGCCGCGUGUGUGAAGAAGGCCUACGGGUUGUAAAGCACUUUUAGCGGGGAGGAAAAGCGAUCGUUGAAUAGACGGUCGCUGUGACGCUACCUGCAGAAAAAGCACCGGCAAACUCUGUGCCAGCAGCCGCGGUAAUACAGAGGGUGCAAGCGUUAAUCGGAAUGACUGGGCGUAAAGGGCGUGUAGGCGGUUGGAUAAGUCAGAUGUGAAAGACUCGAGCUCAACUUGAGAACGGCAUUUGAAACUAUCCGACUUGAGAGCAGUAGAGGGGAGUGGAAUUUCCGGUGUAGCGGUGAAAUGCGUAGAUAUCGGAAGGAACACCAGUGGCGAAGGCGACUCCCUGGACUGUUUCUGACGCUGAGGCGCGAAAGCGUGGGGAGCAAACAGGAUUAGAUACCCUGGUAGUCCAUGCUGUAAACGAUGAGAACUAGCUGUUGGUCGCAAGAUCAGUAGCGAAGCGAACGCGAUAAGUUCUCCGCCUGGGGAUUACGGCCGCAAGGCUAAAACUCAAAGGAAUUGACGGGGGCCCGCACAAGCGGUGGAGCAUGUGGUUUAAUUCGACGCAACUCGAAGAACCUUACCUACCCUUGACAUCCUGCGAAACCUGUAGAGAUAUGGGCGUGCCCGAAAGGGAGCGCGGAGACAGGUGCUGCAUGGCUGUCGUCAGCUCGUGUCGUGAGAUGUUGGGUUAAGUCCCGUAACGAGCGCAACCCUUGUCCUUAGUUACCAGCUAGUAAAGUAGGGGACUCUAAGGAGACUGCCGGUGAUAAAUCGGAGGAAGGUGGGGACGACGUCAAGUCAUCAUGGCCUUUAUGGGUAGGGCCACACACGUGCUACAAUGGUGAGUACAAAGGGAAGCCAAACCGCGAGGUGGAGCAGACCCCAAAAAACUCAUCGUAAUCCGGAUUGAAGUCUGCAACUCGACUUCAUGAAGCUGGAAUCGCUAGUAAUCGCGGAUCAGCAAGCCGCGGUGAAUACGUUCACGGGCCUUGUACACACCGCCCGUCACACCAUGGAAGUGGGUUGUACCAGAAGCAGGAGAACUAACCGUAAGGAGGCAUCCUGCCACGGUAUGAUCCAUGACUGGGGUGAAGUCGUAACAAGGUA